rnacentral:rRNA from 1 species
AGCAGCCGCGGUAAUUCCAGCUCCAAUAGCGUAUAUUAAAGUUGUUGCAGUUAAAAAGCUCGUAGUUGAAUUUCGGGAUCAAGUCGUCGGUCGUGCUUAGGUACGUACUGGCGUCAUUGAUUUCUCCCUUCUGACGAACCAUGAUGUCAUUAAUUUGGUGUUAUGGGAAAUCAGGACUGUUACUUUGAAAAAUUAGAGUGUUUAAAGCAGGCUCACGCUUGAAUACAUUAGCAUGGAAUAAUGAAAUAGGACG